rnacentral:rRNA from 1 species
AUACGUAGGCACCAAGCGUUGUUCGGAAUUACUGGGCGUAAAGCGAGUGUAGGCGGUUUGCCAAGUCCGUUGUGAAAUCUCCUGGCUCAACUGGGAGGGUGCGGCGGAAACUGGCAGGCUAGAGUGCGGAAGAGGAGAGUGGAAUUCCUGGUGUAGCGGUGAAAUGCGUAGAUAUCAGGAGGAACACCGGCGGUGAAGACGGCUCUCUGGACCGCUACUGACGCUGAGACUCGAAAGCGUGGGGAGCAAACAGGAUUAGAUACCCCGGUAGUCC